GCGACGCAUGCGCCCGCCG
rnacentral:snRNA from 1 species